ACAGGGUGCAUGAGAACAUGUCUCGUCAUAUCAGGUUCUUAUGCAAAUGAAAGGAAGUGUUUGCAGAGAGAGAGAGAGAGUGAGGGAGAGGGACAGAGGGAGAGAGGUAGAGAGAGAGAGAGAGAGAGACAGACAGACAGACAGACAGAGAGAGAGAGGGAGAGAGGGAGAGAGAGAAAGAGAGAGAGAGCGAGAGAGAGAGAGACAGAGAGAGAGAGAAAGAGAGACAGAGAGCGAGAGAGAGAGAGACAGAGAGAGAGAGAGAGAGAGAGAGAGUUUCUCAAAUGACACCUCUAUGAACAGUUGCUUUGAGAUAACUUGAGAACAGGAGGUGAUGUUUGCAGUUCUAAUGUAUUAUCAUAUCAAGACUGCACACCUUGCAGGUUACAUCCUACACCUCCACACCUGGCAGGUUACAUCCUACACCUCCACACCUGGCAGGUUACAUCCUACACCUCCACACCUGGCAGGUUACAUCCUACACCUCUACACCUGGCAGGUUACAUCCUACACCUCAACACCUGGUAGGUUACAUCCUACACCUCAACACCUGGCAGGUUACAUCCUACACCUCAACACCUGGCAGGUUACAUCCUACACCUCUACACCUGGCAGGUUACAUCCUACACCUCUACACCUGGCAGGUUACAUCCUACACCUCAACACCUGGCAGGUUACAUCUCACAGCUCCACACCUGGCAGGUUACAUCCUACACCUCAACACCUGGCAGCUUACAUCCUACACCUCAACACCUGGCAGGUUACAUCUCACACCUCAACACCUGGCAGGUUACAUCCUACACCUCAACACCUGGCAGGUUACAUCUCACACCUCCACACCUGGCAGGUUACAUCCUACACCUCAACACCUGGCAGGUUACAUCCUACAUCUCAACACCUGGCAGGUUACAUCCUACACCUCUACACCUGGCAGGUUACAUUUCAUAUCUCAACACCUGGCAGGUUACAUCCUACAUCUCAACACCUGGCAGGUUACAUCCUACACCUCUACACCUGGCAGGUUACAUUUC
rnacentral:lncRNA from 1 species